CACGUAGUUAGCCGUGGCUUUCUGAUUAGGUACCGUCAAGAUGUGCACAGUUACUUACACAUUUGUUCUUCCCUAAUAACAGAGUUUUACGAGCCGAAACCCUUCAUCACUCACGCGGCGUUGCUCCGUCAGGCCUUUCGCCCAUUGCGGAAGAUUCCCUACUGCUGCCUCCCGUAGGAGUCUGGACCGUGUCUCAGUUCCAGUGUGGCCGAUCACCCUCUCAGGUCGGCUACGUAUCGUCGCCUUGGUAAGCCGUUACCUUACCAACUAGCUAAUACGGCGCGGGUCCAUCUAUAAGUGAUAGCAAAACCAUCUUUCACUUUAGAACCAUGCGGUUCUAAAUGUUAUCCGGUAUUAGCUCCGGUUUCCCGAAGUUAUCCCAGUCUUAUAGGUAGGUUACCCACGUGUUACUCACCCGUCCGCCGCUAACUUCAAAGGAGCAAGCUCCUUAUCUGUUCGCUCGACUUGCAUGUAUUAGGCACGCCGCCAGCGUUCAUCCUGAGCCAGGAUCAAACUCU
rnacentral:rRNA from 1 species